rnacentral:snoRNA from 1 species
GGAUUGACGAUGACUUUAAAAAAAAAAAAGAAUCUCACUGAAAUCUGAAAAAAAUGAGUGACCAGAGCACUUCUGUGUGCUGAGGUCC